rnacentral:rRNA from 1 species
AAACGACUUCUGGCAACGGAUAUCUCGGCUCUCGCAUCGAUGAAGAACGUAGCGAAAUGCGAUACUUGGUGUGAAUUGCAGAAUCCCGUGAACCAUCGAGUCUUUGAACGCAAGUUGCGCCCGAAGCCACUAGGUCGAGGGCACGUCUGCCUGGGCGUCACG